rnacentral:rRNA from 1 species
UACGUAGGGACCAAGCGUUGUUCGGAUUUACUGGGCGUAAAGGGCGCGUAGGCGGAUCUGUAUGUCCGUAAGUGAAAUCCCGCCGCUCAACGGCGGGGCUGCUUGGGAAACGGCAGGUCUGGGGACCGGUAGAGGUCGGUAGAAUUCCCGGUGUAGCGGUGGAAUGCGUAGAGAUCGGGAAGAAUACCCGUGGCGAAGGCGGCCGACUGGGCCGGAUCCGACGCUGAUGCGCGAAAGCGUGGGGAGCAAACAGG